GCUGGGUGUGGUGACAUACGCCUGUAAUCCCUGCUACUGGGAAGGCUGAGGCUGGUGGACCACUUGAGCUCCGGAGUUCUGAGCUGCAGUAGGGGUAAAGCUGAUCAGGAGUCAGCACUAAGUCCAGUAUCAUUAUGGUGAACCCCCAGGAGCACAGGGACCACCAGGAUGCUUUUAAGGAGGGGUGCACCGGCCCAGGUCGGAAACGGAGCAGGUCAAAGCUUCCGUGCCGAUCAGCAGUGGGAUCAGGCCCCUGAAUGGUUGCUGCACUUCCAGCCUGGGCGAGAUAGGGAGACCCAGUCUCAG
ensembl:misc_RNA Metazoa_SRP Metazoan signal recognition particle RNA